CAUUAUUUGCAAUUGUUUUAUCAAUUUGGGAUAACAUUCUAAAGGAGGAAAGAUAUAAUGAAGGUUAGAUACCAAAUCGUCAACUUGUUCUUCCUUUUUUUUGUCAUCGCGAAAAUUUUACUAUUUUUCAUUUAGAUGCUCCGUACUGGUACGUAGUUUUGCAAUAUACAACAACAACAAUAUGCAGACCUUAUCCUACCCUGGGGUAGAGAGGCUGUUUCCAAAUAGACCCCCCGGCAUCCUUCCCUCCAAGAACUUCCCACCUUGCUCUUGGGGAGACUCAAACUCACAACCUCUCGGUUGAAAGUGGGGACCCCCCGGCAUCCUUCCCUCCAAGAACUUCUCACAUUGCUCUUGGGCAGACUCGAACUCACAACCUCUGGGUUGGAAGUGAGGGUUUCUUACCAUCAGAGCAACCCCUCUUGUCUUAGUUUUGCAAUAUGUAUAUAUAUAAUUAUUAUAUGCAAAACAUUAGCUAGGUCGAUGAAGAAGAUCCACGAUAUAGAAGGUUGUAAUAUGAUUGAUUCGACAGAUUUGUUCUUCACUUAAAAAACAUAUACUGUAAUUAAUAUCGUGUUUUGCAUGCAUGAUUUGAAGUGUAGAAGUAGAAUAAAAAAUCUAGUACUCC
rnacentral:lncRNA from 1 species